rnacentral:lncRNA from 1 species
UUAAGUAAUGGAUGGCAAUAUAUCCACUCUCAUCCAAAUUCAGGAAUCCUGCGUUUAUGAGUUAUCAGGACAGAAAUGGAAUAAAGGAGCUAACAGUUGACUUGUUUGAACUGGAAAACAGACAAUGCAGAAGGGCUUAAAGGGUAAACAAAUCAAGUUUUAUAAUGUAAACCUUAUAGUUAAUGAUCUGUAUUUGAGUUGAAUAAGCACUAGUACAUAAACUUUUAGUUAAUGAUAUGAAGUCAUUGCUAUCAAUUUAGCUAAUGCUCAGUGUUAUAGUUGAAUAAUGUAUAGUACAUUGAGUUGUAGUACAAUAACAAUUUAAAUUGAAUAUUGUAAUCUUUUGAGUUGAGUAAAACAUAGUACAUUAGCUUCAGAAGGCUGUUCAAUGUACCUUAACUUUUGAUAAGCUAUGAUUUAUACAAUGUAAUGAGAAAGAUGAAACUUUUUAUAAACAAGUCUAAUUAACUUUUAAGCUCUCUUCCAAGGCUAAGUUAACUAUUGAUAAGCUAUUAUUUAUGUAAUGUAAUGAGAAACAUGCAACCUUUUUAAUCUGUUCAAUGUACCUUAACUGAUUACCUGAUGUGAAUGAUGAAUAAGUUUUGUAAGUUAUCAUGAGAAAGGUGUAACUUAAAUAAGUUUUGGUAACUUUAACGAAGAUGAUCCAACUUUUAUAGAACAAUGCUGUGUAAUUUUGGUCAAUAAUUUUUUUUAUAUUGAUUAUCCAAUUUUUAAAUAGUUUUGAUUAAAUACAUGAAACAUGUCUAUUUCCAAUACCAAAUUUUGUUACAAUGCUAAAUGUAUGUUUAUAAGGUGAUAAUUACAGAAACUUAAGUUUUAUUGCAAUUUGAAACAGGUUACAAAAAUAUGCACGCAACAUGGUGAUUAGACUUGAAGUCAAAAAUGUUAAGAAGGAGAAGGUGAAUGAUAUCAGUUUUACUUAGACAUAGAAGAACUAAGAGG